GGGGAUUUAGCUCAGUGGCAUAAGUACCUGCCUUGCAAGCAGGCGGUCCGUGAGUUCGAUCCCCA
rnacentral:tRNA from 1 species